AUGAGCAGCAGAACAGUAGACAGUGCAUUGCAUUGUGACGGCGCUGGAUUGCCAGACAAUUGUGAGGAAACUGGCUGUACCAGUGCUUCUCAGAUUAGAUGCCCAUCAGAGUCCCUUCAGGUUACUUGCCACAAUUAUCGAAGCCAGACCUGCCUCCCAAACCUUCUGAGUGGUGGUUCUGGUGCACACUCAGGCAGGAGAAGCUUUGCUCAACGCGUGAACGGUCUUGAAGCUCCCGAAGGACUUGUGAUCUUGUCAUGGGCAUGAGUCCUCAACAUCCGCUCUAACGUUGUGCGAAGGCUUGC
rnacentral:lncRNA from 1 species